AUGAGGUUUAGAGUAGUUACUCAUGUGAGUGAAAGUUUUGUGGGCCUGAGCUGUGAAAACUGUUGCUAUCAUUACAACUAUGGUAAACUAAAGUCAGGAAUUCACAAGUGUCCACCUUUAUUGAUUUCUGAAGCAAACCCAUCUUUGAAAAUUUCGUAUACCUCAGAGAUUUCUCGAUUUUCAUUGAAUCACCACCGAAGUUAA